UAGGGAAUCUUCCGCAAUGGACGAAAGUCUGACGGAGCAACGCCGCGUGAGUGAAGAAGGAUUUCGGUUCGUAAAACUCUGUUGUUAGGGAAGAAAAAAUGUAUAGUAACUAUAUACAAAAGAGACGGUACCUAACCAGAAAGCCACGGCUAACUACGUGCCAGCAGCCGCGGUAAUACGUAGGUGGCAAGCGUUGUCCGGAAUUAUUGGGCGUAAAGCGCGCGCAGGUGGUUUAGAAAGUCUGAUGUGAAAGCCCACGGCUCAACCGUGGAGGGUCAUUGGAAACUAAUAAACUUGAGUGCAGGAGAGAAAAGUGGAAUUCCUAGUGUAGCGGUGAAAUGCGUAGAUAUUAGGAGGAACACCGGUGGCGAAAGCGGCUUUUUGGCCUGCAACUGACACUGAGGCGCGAAAGCGUGGGGAGCAAACAGG
rnacentral:rRNA from 1 species